rnacentral:tRNA from 1 species
CCUGAUGGCUUACAUGGUAAAGUGUCUGCCUUCAGUGCGGGAGACCCAGGUUCAGUCCCUGGGUCAGGA